AAAUAUCCUCCCAAAUUUUAUUGUUCUCCCAGCGACCCAGACCCACCCUUAGCCCCCCGUCUCCGCCCUCUGGUUUUCCUCGCGUCCUAUUUAAGGUGGCGAGGUCGCCCAUCGUUUGAUGCCCUAGGACUGCUGCCGUAAGCGACCCGAAGUGGAGAAAUAAAAAGGGCUCGAGUGGGAGCCUCCCCAGGGAACCAGAGAGGGAGAGAAAGGACGGUCGAAGAUGCCGGACUACGGGGAGAGAUACGAAGGCAACGGCGAGGGAUACACCGAGUACGGAGGCGCCUCCCCUCUUCCGAAGAGCAGCGGCUUCGACGACUUCGGUGAUUCCAGAUCGCAGUACGGUUCUCAUGAACAUGAGAAGGUGUCUUCACAAGGCAGAGACAGGGAUAGAGAAAAAGAGAGGGACAGGGAUAGGGAGCGUGACAGGGAUAAGGGUCGGGACAGAGAUAGAGAUAGGGAGAGGGAUCGCCAUCACAGAGACCACCGGGACAGAAGUGAAAAAAGUGAUCAUGGCCGAGAUAGAUCUGAUGAUCAUGACCGUCAUCGUAGCCGAGACUACGAUAGGCGUAGGGACUAUGAUCGUGAUAGAGAACGGCGCCAUAGGCAUCGUUCUCGAUCUCAGUCUCAAUCAAGGGGUAGAUCUGAUCAUAGAUCAGGAUCUCGUUCUCGUUCCCGUUCGAGAUCAAAGAGCAAACGUAUCAGCGGUUUUGACAUGGCUCCACCUGUGUCGGCUCUGAUACCUGGUGCAACUACUGCAGGUCAGCUACCUGUAACCACACCAACCAUUCCCGGAAUGUUUCCAAAUAUGUUUCCUCUAGGAGCUGGCCAGUUCCCAACUCUUCCUGUGAUGCCAGUGCAAGCAAUGACACAGCAGGCAACUCGACAUGCUCGGCGUGUGUAUGUUGGUGGCCUCCCCCCUACUGCAAAUGAACAGUCAGUUGCAACUUUCUUUAGCCAGGUUAUGUCUGCCAUUGGAGGAAACACGGCUGGUCCAGGUGAUGCUGUUGUGAAUGUGUAUAUAAACCAUGAGAAGAAAUUCGCUUUUGUGGAAAUGAGAUCUGUUGAAGAAGCAAGCAAUGCAAUGGCCUUGGAUGGCAUCAUUUUUGAGGGUGCUCCAGUAAAGGUCAGACGGCCCAGCGACUAUAAUCCUUCUCUCGCUGCUGCACUUGGCCCCAGCCAGCCCAAUCCCAAUCUUAACCUUGCUGCAGUUGGGCUUACACCAGGUUCUGCUGGUGGCCUUGAGGGUCCUGAUCGCAUUUUCGUGGGUGGACUUCCAUACUAUUUUACAGAAGCACAAGUAAGGGAAUUGCUUGAGUCCUUUGGACCUCUUCGAGGUUUUGAUCUGGUGAAGGACAGGGAAACUGGUAACUCGAAAGGCUAUGCCUUCUGUGUCUAUCAAGACCUCUCGGUUACAGACAUUGCUUGUGCUGCUCUUAAUGGCAUCAAGAUGGGAGAUAAAACCCUGACUGUAAGGCGUGCAAACCAAGGUGCCCAACAACCUAGGCCUGAGCAAGAAAGUGUGUUAUUGCAGGCACAACAACAAGUGGCUUUGCAGAGGCUUGUGUACCAGGCAGGGUCCCUUCCAACCAAGAUAGUGUGCUUAACGCAGGUAGUUAGUGCAGAUGAAUUGAAAGAUGACGAGGAAUAUGAAGACAUAGUGGAAGACAUGAGGGGAGAGGGUGGAAAAUAUGUCUUUUGUUGUCCAAACUUAUGCAAUUGAGAAUCCGGCCUAACCCACAGAAGAUCCUAUUCUCUGUGUUCUAACCUGGGACCAUCUCUCUAACUUUUAGUAAUUCUUCUUGCUGAUCUCACAACCCUGUACUUUUUUGCAGGGAAAUUAGUGAAUGUUAUCAUCCCUAGACCUGGUCCAAAUGGAGAACCAGCUCCUGGUGUUGGAAAGAUUCAUGAAUCCAUGCUUACAAAUGCAAGCAGAUCCUCACCCUGUGCAUUCCUUAUUUUUCUUGGUAUUUUUGGAGUAUGCGGACAUUGAUGGAUCCACAAAAGCCAGGCAAGGGUUGCAUGGAAGGAAAUUUGGGGGAAAUCAGGUUGUUGCGGUUUUCUACCCAGAGACCAAGUUUGCCCAAGGAGAAUAUGAUGAUUGAUGGAUAGUUACUUAACAUCAUUGUUUUCUAAUACUUUAUUUCUUUUUACUUUAAGGUUGUAUCUUAGACUUUUUUUCUGCAGAAUUGAUGCUUUACUUAUCGUGAUCGGACAUUUUAGACAUAUUAGGGAGAUAUGCUAACGAGUUAAUUAGUAUCCAAAUUUGGUUCUCUUAUAUGUCUAGUAUACUCCAAUUAUCCACUUGAUAAUAGAUUGUGUCAGCAACAAGGAAAUUUGGUAGACUGUCAUGGUAUGUGCAUGCAGCAUCUGAUUCAAUGAUGUUCAGCCCAGAUGGCAAAGUGCAUUGGGCCAUCAGAAUUCUGAAUUGGUAGUUCACUGUAUCUUUCUUAUGAGGUAUACACCAGAAGGCACCGACCAAUAUUCAUUUACUGUCUCCCACCUCCUGGAGUGCAAAUAAUUUAUGUUUAGCCACCGUAAAAUAAUUUGUUUUGCACAGCAGGAGGCACGCAUGAGAAGUUUUUGAAGCUUUUGAUCUUUGGCUGUAGGCUCUUGGAUGAUGCAGGGUGGAGUUAAUGGUGUCCAUCAUUGGUUUGGAAGGUUGGCAUGCAUGGGCAAUGCGAAUCUGUAGUAACUAAUGUUAUCAUCUGAUGAUCUUAUUUUGGACCAAUCACUAAGUUUUCUUAUGGAUCUCAAUGAUUUAGAAAAUGACAAAUUGGGCGUGUAAUUUUAUUUUUUUUUAAAGGUGUAGUUGUACAUUAUAUGGCCUGAUGCAUUGUUGAAAAGCUUUCCUUAUAAGUUCCGUGUUA